rnacentral:lncRNA from 1 species
UUCCCAGCAGCAAAUUUGGGUUGUGUUUGUGCCUCCUGUCCUCUCCCAGGGGAAGAGCCUGAGGAGGGACCCAAGGAAAAGAAGAGGUUGGCUUGUUGCAAAUUGCUGCCAGGAAACUGUCAGUCUUCUAACCUAACAUCAGUUCUUAUCAGAGAAACCCUGGGAAGGAUGAGAGAACUGGGCUCCAAUGGCCGCCUGCUUCCCAGCCUUCUGAACCCAGGAGAUAGACUAGUGGCUGUGCCGUCUCCAGGUGGUGGCAAAUCUGAAGUCAGUAAAGUCCUCAGCAUAGCCACAGUCUGAUCUUCUCGACCUUCUUAGACCUGCUCGCCACUUCUGUCUUUAAGUCCUGUGCGGUGCUGUGCUGUGUUCAGUCACGUCUGCCUAUCUGCCAUCCCAUGGCCUAUAGCCCACCAGGCUCCUCUGUCCAUGGAAUUUUCCAGGCAAGAAUACUGGAGUGGGUUGCCAUUUCUUUCUCCAGAGGAUCUUCCCACCCCAGGGACUGAACCCGCAUCUCUUGCAUUGGCAGGCAGGUUCUUUACCACUGCCCCACCUGGGAAGCUCCAUUGUUAAGUCCCUCCACUACUAAAUUAAUGGAUCAGGUAACAGUCAUCAGUUUGCAUGUUCAGAAUCCUACAAUUUUGCUCUCUCUGAAAUAUGCUUUCUUAUCUCUCUGUCAAUAUGAUUAAACUUCCAAUCAUUGAAUGGUUCUUUCUGUAGGAAACAAGGCAUGCGAAUGCUCUCUGUGUCCUCUUAACCCCGUGCCCAUAAGUACUGAGGGGAUAUUUCAAUAAUUUACUACUAAUGGGGUAAAACAGAUCAAUGUAUGAAGCAAACAAAAAAAUUCUUCUUAUUCCAUAGAUAAGCUAAAUUAUAUAUGAUAGGACUUUUUGCCAAGUGAUAUAAAUUGUGGUCCAAAUUAUCCAUAAAGUCAUUAUAAUUUCCAGGUCACUUAAUGAUGUUAACAUAUUGGUGGCAUGAGCAUUUCUUUGAUAUGUAUCAUCAAUUAACUAAUGACCCUGUUUGCUAUUGUGACAGGGAUAUACACAGCUUUCCAAUAACUUCUCAUAGUCAUUAGGUGACUCUGCUCAACAAGUAAAAAAUUUCUCUUAUCAUCAAUUUUGUUAUUCAUGGUACCAAAGCCAUGAAAAAAAAAUUUUAGUUCUAAAAUUUAUACAAUUACAUUAAAUUAUUUAGGCUAUAUUUUUUGUUUGACAUAUUAACAUAAUAAAUAUCUCUACUAUUAAGGAG